UACGGGGGGAGCAAGCGUUGUUCGGAUUUACUGGGCGUAAAGGGCGCGUAGGCGGCCACCGCAAGUCGACUGUGAAAUCUCCGGGCUUAACCCGGAACGGUCAGCCGAUACUGCGGGGCUAGAGUGCAGAAGGGGCAACUGGAAUUCUCGGUGUAGCGGUGAAAUGCGUAGAUAUCGAGAGGAACACCUGCGGCGAAGGCGGGUUGCUGGGCUGACACUGACGCUGAGGCGCGAAAGCGUGGGGAGCAAACAGG
rnacentral:rRNA from 1 species